rnacentral:rRNA from 1 species
AAUCAACGCUGGCGGCGUGCCUAACACAUGCAAGUCGAACGCGAAAGCCCCGCAAGGGGUUAGUAGAGUGGCAAACGGGUGAGUAACACGUGGGUGACCUGCCUUCGAGUGGGGGAUAACGUCCCGAAAGGGACGCUAAUACCGCAUAACAUCCUGCCUUUUAAGAGGUGGACAUCAAAGCUGGGGAUCGCAAGACCUAGCGCUUGAGGAGGGGCCCGCGCCUGAUUAGCUAGUUGGNGGGUAUGGCUCACCAAGCAACGAUCAGUAUCCGGCCUGAGAGGGCGGACGGACACACUGGGACUGAGA